CUGCACGCGCGCUACACUGAAGGAAUCAGCGUGUUACCCUGUCCGAAAGGACUGGGAACCCGUUGAACCUCCUUCGUGAUGGGGAUUAGGGAUUGCAAUUAUUCCCUAUGAACGAGGAAUUCCCAGUAAGCGCGAGUCAUAAGCUUGCGUCGAUUACGU
rnacentral:rRNA from 1 species